rnacentral:rRNA from 1 species
AGACGGGGCCCGCACAAGCGGUGGAGCAUGUGGUUUAAUUCGACGCAACGCGAAGAACCUUACCAGGGCUUGACAUCCCCUGACCGCGUAUGAAAGUACGUUUUCACCCUCGGGUGACAGGGAGACAGGUGGUGCAUGGUUGUCGUCAGCUCGUGUCGUGAGAUGUUGGGUUAAGUCCCGCAACGAGCGCAACCCUCGCCUCUAGUUGCCAGCAUUCGGUUGGGCACUCUAGAGGGACUGCCGGCGACAAGUCGGAGGAAGGUGGGGAUGACGUCAAAUCAUCAUGCCCCUUAUGACCUGGGCUACACACGUGCUACAAUGGGCGGUACAAAGGGCUGCGAACCCGCGAGGGGGAGCGAAUCCCAAAAAGCCGCUCUCAGUUCGGAUUGCAGGCUGCAACUCGCCUGCAUGAAGCCGGAAUCGCUAGUAAUCGCGGAUCAGCAUGCCGCGGUGAAUACCGCUCCCAGGCCUU